rnacentral:rRNA from 1 species
AGUGAACGCUGGCGGCAGGCCUAACACAUGCAAGUCGAACGGCAGCACAAGAGAGCUUGCUGUCUGGGUGGCGAGUGGCGGACGGGUGAGGAAUGCAUCGGAAUCUGCCCAUUUGUGGGGGAUAACCUCGGGAAACCGGGACUAAUACCGCAUACGACCUACGGGUGAAAGCAGGGGAUCUUCGGACCUUGCGCAGAUGGAUGAGCCGAUGCCGGAUUAGCUAGUUGGAGGGGUAAAGGCCCACCAAGGCGACGAUCCGUAGCUGGUCUGAGAGGAUGAUCAGCCACACUGGGACUGAGACACGGCCCAGACUCCUACGGGAGGCAGCAGUGGGGAAUAUUGGACAAUGGGCGCAAGCCUGAUCCAGCCAUGCCGCGUGUGUGAAGAAGGCCUUCGGGUUGUAAAGCACUUUUGUUGGGAAAGAAAAGCAGCCGGUUAAUACCCGGUUGUCAUGACGGUACCCAAAGAAUAAGCACCGGCUAACUUCGUG